AAAUGUUUGAUGACUGACCUUAUGCUCAGAGCGUGUCACAGGUGUAUCAUGGGAAAUGCUUGAUGACCGACCUUGUGCUCAGAGUGUGUUACAGGUGUAUCAUGGGAAAUGUUUGAUGACCGACCUUGUGCUCAGAGUGUGUUACAGGUGUAUCAUGGGAAAUGUUUGAUGACCGACCUUGUGCUCAGAGCGUGUCACAGGUGUAUCAUGGGAAAUGUUUGAUGACCAACCUUGUGCUCAGAGCAUGUUACAGGUGUAUCAUGGGAAAUGUUUGAUGACCGACCUUGUGCUCAGAGUGUGUUACAGGUGUAUCAUGGGAAAUGUUUGAUGACUGACCUUGUGCUCAGAGUGUGUUACAGGUGUAUCAUGGGAAAUGUUUGAUGACUGACCUUGUGCUCAGAGUGUGUUACAGGUGUAUCAUGGGAAAUGUUUGAUGACCGACCUUGUGCUCAGAGUGUGUUACAGGUGUAUCAUGGGAAAUGUUUGAUGACUGACCUUGUGCUCCUGGGCUCCACUCAUCACGGCACAUGACCCAGCAACUCGAAUGCUAAGGCUCCGGAAAUCUUGAUUUUCAAACAUAAACAAACGACAUUUUAGAGGCCAGCAUUCGCUGGCUGCUCUGCCUCCUGUCUGCAGGCGCCCCCCCCAGGCCAGGCCCGGCGCUGGGGCCCUCACCAGGGAGGGCAUGGCUCCCUCCUCUCGGGCAGUGUGGGCUGGUGGAGAAGCCAGAAUCCAGCAUGAGAUCACAACAUAAACGAGUCGUGACAGUGCUGGGGAAGAAAUAGUUUGCCACAGGAACCUGCAACCCAGUCUGAAGACAGAGACUGGCAGCGAGCUGGGAGGCCCGGGGCAGGGGGAGGCAGCCACGUGGACAGGCAGCCGACAAGAGCGCGCGGCCUCUGAGGGGGUGGAGCCGACGUGCGCCAGGCCAGUCUCCACGCAGGAAGCCACAGGCGCCUCAGAAGGUUACAGCAGGGAUGAUAAUCGAAUUUGCUGAGAAACCAGGGCGGCUCCGGGACUUCUGACCAGAGCAGGAGAUCGGCUGGGGCUCUGGGCAAGAGAAGAGGAGGAACUGGAAACUCUUGGACUGCGUGUUCCUGGGCACGCGUGUGGCAGGAACAGGUGAGGCGUGGUAACUAUUCGCACAGUUCUGCUGGGGACAUAGCGGAGGCGAGGGCCAGGACUGGAUGGCUGAGACACCCUGAGGCCAAGGAGCUGGCGAGGACGUCUGGGGCAGACGUCAGGUGCUCUGCAGGGAUCAGGGACGAUGCUGGCAGAGCCUUGGAGAGAAUGCCCGACAUACACGGGCACGCGGGCUGUGUGCAUCUGCCACUAACUGAACACCUCUCACCCUCGAACCUAAACGACAAGGUUUCUACACCAAAACUUUUGACUAACCCAGGCAUCAGUCAGGUAAAAAGUCUAAAGUCCUAUGCAAUUUCUA